rnacentral:rRNA from 1 species
AUGGCAGACUUGCUCCUCCUAACCCUGCUUCCCUUGGCUCUCCUCUUCCUCCUCCUCCACCAUGCAUCGCCAAUCAAAGCCCUUCUCACGAGGGCCAAGUCGGUUUUGGCACCGGAGCUCUCCACGGUGUGGAAGCCACAGCCAGCUAGCAUCUUCGUCACGGACCCCGAGACGGCGCACAGCCUUCUCGUGCGCGGCAGCGCCGGUGGCUCCUUCUCCAACCGCCCACCGUCCAUUUCUCCCAGCGCCAUCCUCUCGCGCCGUCAACACCAGAACAUCACCUCCGCUCCCUACGGUGAGCACUGGCGCGCCAUUCGUCACAACCUCACAUCGGAGGUCCUCCACCCAACGCAGCUCCACCGGCACGCGUCAGCGCGCCGCCGUGCACUACAUGGACUCGUCGUGGACCUCGCCGAGCAGAGGAAAAACGGCGUGGUUCACGCGGCGGAGAGCAUCCGCUACGCUAUGUUUGGCCUGGUGGCCAACAUGUGUUUCGGCGACGACAUCGACAAUAACCGCGUACGUGCCAUGGCCGACGCUCAGAGUGACCUCGUCAAAUCCCUAUCUACGGCGCGCGUGUUCGCGCACGCGAAGCUCCCCGCACUGACCAGGCUCAUUUAUCGUAAUCGGUGGAAGAAGCUAGCCGCCCUGCGACAGCAGCAGGAGCAGACGUACCUACCACUCAUCGACUCCCGUCGCGGCCGGCACCGGCGACCCAGCGAGACGCCAGUGUAUGUGGACACGCUCAUCGAUCUCAAGGUGCCGGACGACCACAGUCAGGACCCAAGGCGGCAUCGAAGAAGGCUGUCCGAUGGUGAACUCGUCGGCAUGUGCUCCGAGUUCCUUGGUGCUGGAACUGAAACGACAGCAUCAGCGCUGCAGUGGAUCAUGGCCAACUUGGUGAAGCGUCCUGACAUACAGGAGGCCGUCCAGAAGGAGAUCAAUGCCGUCGUGGGUGCGGACGCCGAGGAAGUCAGCGAGGUUGUUCUUGGGAAGCUGGAGUACCUGCACGCUGUGAUCAUGGAGGCACUCCGGCUGCAUCCGCCGACGUCUUUUGCGUUCAGGCAGGUGAUGGAAGAGGAUCAUGUGGUUCACAAUGGCCAGCGUAUUCCAGUGGGCACAAAAGUGUACUUCCCACUGGCUGCUAUAGCACGAGACAGGACAGCGUGGGAUAACCCUGACGAGUUCAAGCCACAACGGUUCCUGUCCUGCAAGGAUGCAUCCCAAGGAACCGACGGCACGAUCAAAAUGAUGCCUUUCGGCGGUGGUCGGAGGAUGUGCCCUGGUAGGGGUGUCGCAACGCUGCACUUAAGCUACUUCACCGCCAACCUUGUGAGGGAGUUCCGGUGGAGGGAGGGAGAAGGUGAGCUUGCUGUCGAUCUCCAGCCGCAUGUUGAGUUCUUCACUGUCAUGAAGCGGCCAUUGCGUGCUCACCUAGAGCUUGAAAGGACAGAGAUCAAAACUAGUUAA